rnacentral:tmRNA from 2 species
GACCUUGCACUUCCCGCAGGCCUUGCCUAUGUUCCCUCCUGUCGGGGGCAACCCCGACUAUAGCGAUAAACGCACCUGUAAUAAUCGGCUCGGACCCGGGGGCGGUACCCGGCGGCUCCACCAGACUUUCCCGUUCAUUGCGGGCGUGUGGGGCCGAAACAGGAUCGACGAACGACCAAAGAGGCCAGCUUUCGCUCGGUGAGGUACCACCGUUAUCGGUCCAAGAUCACAGUUGCCAAUGACAACCGUGCUCCGGUGGCGCUGGCCGCGUAAGCGGCUCGCAAUACCAAACCUAAGUCCUUGCGCUUAGCCGCGCAAGGCGGGGCCCGCCGGAGCCUGGCAACAGAAUCCGGCACC